ensembl:lncRNA
UGCUGCUACUCCUCCUGCUGGUCCCUCGGAGGAGACAUUCCUUUCAGAGGGGUGGAGCUGUCAAAAUGGAUUUUAAAAUAUGGGUUGUAUUUUAAUUUUUGGUUGUUUUCUAAAUUUGGUCACUCAUGUCGUCUUGUUCUAAAAAGAGAGAAAGGAAGCAGCUGCCCUCUUGGAAUGCUCCAGAGAGGAGAAGGGAAGAAAGUCCUCACGCUCCCUGCUGAUUGUUCAGCUUCCUUCCUGAGCUCUUGAAAGCCCACUCUGGGGGAGUAGAAGGGACAGGAGUGGUCUCUCUGACCUGAGAAUUUCAUGGAGGGCAGACCAUCUGUCACCUGCCCCUGAUGACACUCACUAAGGCAAGUGACCCCCUGCAAGUGCCAGACUGCACAGACCCUGUUCCCACCUGGACCCAGGCAAUAUGAUUCAAGGUAGACACAGAGAGAUGGGAGGAGCCUGGGGAUAGAGUGGUCCAGUCUUCCUCAGAGAGCACUGGCAGCUGGGCCAUCUUGAAGGGCUGAGCAGGCAGGGGGCUAGGCAGGGGGAUGACGGACCAAGGGGAAGGCAGCCUGGCCAGGAAUGGCAGGUGGUGGUGUUGCCUGGAUGUGAAGAGCGUCCAUCCCGAGAGCUGCAGAUUCUAUCACCCUCUGAGGUUUGGCUUCUCUCCACAACCCUGCAUGAAUCUCCCCUGCCAAGGUCCAGGACCUCUCGCUUGCUAAAUCCACCGAUGAGUUUUCUUCCUCAUGUUCCUGCAUCUCACUGCCACAUUUGGCCUGGUCCAUGCCUGUCUCCUGGCCCUCUCUCCUCUGGUGCCACCACAUCUUCAGUUCUCCACUCACCCCAGACUUCUGUGGGCUUCCUCUACAACAUCCUUGAGCCACAUUCCCCAGGAUUCCAAGGGACACUUUAUGUUCUCUCUCUGACCAAGAUCUCUGACACAAGUGUGGCUUCAAUGCCAAUGAUUCCAUCAGUUAGGAACUAUAAUCAGCUGCAAGUAGUGGAAACCUGAAAAGCAGUGGCAAAAUCAACUUCAAGGGGAUUCCCAAGUGACUCAGUGAUAAAGCAUCUGCCUACCAAUUCAGGAGAAGUGUGUUUGAUCCCUGGGCCGGAAAGAGCCCCUGGAGACGGAGAUGGCAAUCCAUUCCAGUAUUCUUGCCUGGAGAAUUCCACGGACAGAGGAGCCUGGCAGGCUAUACAGUCCAUGGGGUUGCAAAGAGUCAGACAUGACUUAGCAACUCAGCAACAGCAACAAUCAACUUCGAGGCUUUCUUUUUCUUACAUGAGAGGGUGUCCAGAGUUAGACAUUUCAGGGCUGAUUUGGUGGCUUAUGGUGCUACUAGAGAUGGUGCUCAUUCUAUCUUCCCAUUCAGCCAUGCUUAGCUUGUGUCUAUCCCCCUGUGGUUGUAACAUGUCUGCCCCUGACCCCACUCUCACCAAACAUCUAGUUUGUCUUCAUUCAAGGAGAAGGGUAAAGAGCAAAAGGCCUGCUAAGUCUGUCACCCAUUAAAGAGUUUUCCCAGAAGACUUUUCCCAUUUCUAUAUUAGUCAGUUAUGGCCACAAAGCUGCUCUGUAGUAACCACUCCCAAACUCAGUGUAACAAGUUGAUUCUGGCCAGGCUCAGCUGGGGAGCAUUCCAGACUUGCACCAGCUGAUCUUGAUCUAGGUUAGCUCCUACUGCACUAGCUCUGGAUCCUAGGCUGAACAAGCAGAGAUGACCCAGGGCAAACUCUUCUCAUGGAGAGUAACCAGAACAAAAAGAAGGCCAAACCGUGCAAGCAGAUUUAAGAUCUCUGCUUAUUCCUUCUGCUAAUGUUUCAAAGGAAGUCAUGGAGCUAACGCCAUCAACAGCAGGGUUAUUGGGAAGAGUCUACAGGAUCAUAUGGUGGACAGACCUGUAAAACUGUAUGAGUGUUGGUGAGCAGUCUUUUUUUUGUCAGGAACUUGAUAAAUGAAUGUGGACAAUGUGGAACAUCUAGUGGACAGAGAAAAGGGGUGUGGACUCAAGUGACCUCCAUUCCUUUGGUUUCUUCACCUGACGAGUGCAUCAGAGACGAUAUCAGAGAGUUUGGAAGGGUGUGGAGGUUCAGUUCCUGGACUAACUAAACAGGAGGCUGCAAGCUUUCCUCUGAUGUGCCCCCUUGUCCAAGGGCCCUGCCCCUGGGAGACAGAACUCUGGGCUGUGGCCGCUCCUCCUGGUGUCUGCUUUGGACUCACCACAAGCCCAGCUGCUAUUGACCACCUGGAUUUCUUUUAAAAGGUACCUCACUUAAAACAGCUAAACCUGUGUCAACUAAGAGUCCAGUCCUGCACUCUGAGAACUCAUGAAGUGAUGCAAAUACACAGAUGCUCAAGUCAGAAGAGAUUCCUGUCUCAUUGUCAUCAUCUGAGCCUUGUGGCCCAGUGGACAAUGAAGAUGAGGAAACAGGAUCAGAGGUGAAGUGACUUACCUGAGUGAUAAGUGGCAGAGCUGAUUUUGAAGCCAAGUUUGUCCACGAUCCGUCUGUGCUUUUAGUUCUUAACCCUAGUGGAUCAGAAUCUCCUGGGAAGUUGGUGAAAACGUUGAUGGCUGGGCCCCAGCCCAGAAUUUCUGAUUCAGUCAGUAUGCUGUGUGGGCAGGGCAAUUUGCAUUCCUAACAAGUGCCCAGAUGAUGCUAAUGCAGCUGGUCCAGGGACCACACUUUGAAAACUACUCAUUAAAUCUCAGAGGGCAUGAAGAUUCCAAGAGUAAAAGAGAGAAGUCUGAGAAAACACUGCCAGAUCCCUCUGGCUUAUGAAAGGAAAGAAAGCAUCAGUUUCCCAGGACUGGAUCAAGAGUUUCUAUGUCAUUCCUGCGUCUGUUAGAGCCCCAACCCCAUUCCAGAACUCCUUUCAAAGAAUCAGUGAACAGUUAUUAGUUGAACUGAGGGAUUAACUGACCAGUCAUGAUGGACCUCUGUAGGGACUUAUUCAUCUGAAAAGAAUGCUUGACAUUUAUUCUGAAAGACGUCUUUCUAUAGACCCUCAAUCCUUGUAGAACCAAAUGACACUUGCCCCUAUAUAUAUUUCAAUGAAUUUCAAAUAUUUUCUAAUUUAUUCUUAGACAUGUGUAUCAGAGGGAUAUCA